ensembl:lncRNA
AUACUCUGACACUUGGGCUGCUGAGUGAGUCUAGACAGAAUUACCAAACAGUAUGCCAUAUACCAAUUUCAGGUUUUUAACCUCAACUGAGACCUCAAGACCAUCCUGCAGUUGUCAUGUUCCUGGUCAAUCUCUACUUUAGGAGCUGUACUCAUUCUCAGUCUAGCACUGGAACUGAUCCUGAUGUUUUUCCUACUAAAACUGAAAGGGAUCUGAUGGUUCGUGGCCCAGUUUGGUUUAAUAUUUUCCUUAUUGGUUUUGGUUUUCUAGGUAAAGAAAUGACUACCUUUGACCUUAAACUUAACUUUGAAAAUGCAGAGCAUUUGAGGAUUUGAGAAUGUGGCCAACACAAGCUAAAUGCGCCAGGGCUUCUUAUAGAGCUGAAAGUGAGAAGGACGUGUGCAAUCAUUGCCCUGGCUUCUCCCUUUCCAAGUGACAGCCAUUCUUACCCUUUAUCUACAGGUUUUUAUUUGUUAGAAGAUUAGUCAAGUAUGAGAUGAGACAAACAUGAGACUGGGUAGGAAUGAAGGAGACAGAAAGUGAAGCACCCCGUCGAGCUGACCUCUUGCUUUGUUUCCUGUUAUCUUGUUUGACUCCUGGCCAAAAACUUUUAUCCUGAACUUAGUGAGUAAAUCAUAACAGACAGGAUUAGACAUUUCAAACUAGUGCUAAUCCACCUAGAUGCAGCUUUAGUCAUAGAUUCAUACAUAGCAGCUUAUAAGAGAUUAAUUUUACAUGCCAAGAUCUCUGUACAUGGAAAUAUUAAUGCCAGAGGCUCUAGGAUGGUUUCAACAAAAAACGAUAAGUGUGCAAAAUAUAAUGAAUGUAUUGCUUUGAAUAAACUCAUAUACUUUGAGUUAUCA